rnacentral:rRNA from 1 species
AUGAACGCUGGCGGCGUGCCUAAUUCAUGCCAGUCGAGCGAACGGACGAGAAGCUUGCUUCUCUGAUGUUAGCGGCGGACGGGUGAGUAACACGUGGAUAACCUACCUAUAAGACUGGGAUAACUUCGGGAAACCGGAGCUAAUACCGGAUAAUAUUUUGAACCGCAUGGUUCAAAAGUGAAAGACGGUCUUGCUGUCACUUAUAGAUGGAUCCGCGCUGCAUUAGCUAGUUGGUAAGGUAACGGCUUACCAAGGCAACGAUGCAUAGCCGACCUGAGAGGGUGAUCGGCCACACUGGAACUGAGACACGGUCCAGACUCCUACGGGAGGCAGCAGUAGGGAAUCUUCCGCAAUGGGCGAAAGCCUGACGGAGCAACGCCGCGUGAGUGAUGAAGGUCUUCGGAUCGUAAAACUCUGUUAUUAGGGAAGAACAUAUGUGUAAGUAACUGUGCACAUCUUGACGGUACCUAAUCAGAAAGCCACGGCUAACUACGUG